GACAGAGGGUGCAAACGUUGUUCGGAAUUACUGGGCGUAAAGCGCGUGUAGGCGGCUUUGCAAGUCGGGCGUGAAAUCCCAUGGCUCAACCAUGGAAGUGCACUCGAAACUGCAGAGCUAGAGUCCUGGAGGAGGAAGGUGGAAUGCUUGGUGUAGAGGUGAAAUUCGUAGAUAUCAAGCGGAACACCGGUGGCGAAGGCGGCCUUCUGGACAGUGACUGACGCUGAGACGCGAAAGCGUGGGGAGCAAACAGG
rnacentral:rRNA from 1 species